rnacentral:rRNA from 1 species
AUUGAACGCUGGCGGCAGGCCUAACACAUGCAAGUCGAGCGGUAGCACAGAGAGCUUGCUCUCGGGUGACGAGCGGCGGACGGGUGAGUAAUGUCUGGGAAACUGCCUGAUGGAGGGGGAUAACUACUGGAAACGGUAGCUAAUACCGCAUAACGUCGCAAGACCAAAGAGGGGGACCUUCGGGCCUCUUGCCAUCAGAUGUGCCCAGAUGGGAUUAGCUAGUAGGUGGGGUAACGGCUCACCUAGGCGACGAUCCCUAGCUGGUCUGAGAGGAUGACCAGCCACACUGGAACUGAGAAACGGUCCAGACUCCUACGGGAGGCAGCAGUGGGGAAUAUUGCACAAUGGGCGCAAGCCUGAUGCAGCCAUGCCGCGUGUAUGAAGAAGGCCUUCGGGUUGUAAAGUACUUUCAGCGGGGAGGAAGGCGAUAAGGUUAAUAACCGCGUCGAUUGACGUUACCCGCAGAAGAAGCACCGGCUAACUCCGUGCCAGCAGCCGCCGUAA